GAGUUUGAUCCUGGCUCAGGACGAACGCUGGUGGCGUGCUUAACACAUGCAAGUCGAACGGUGAAGCUCCUGCUUGCAGGGGUGGAUCAGUGGCGAACGGGUGAGUAACACGUGAGCAACCUGCCCUCCACUUCGGGAUAAGCCUUGGAAACGGGGUCUAAUACCGGAUAUGAGCACUCACUGCAUGGUGGGUGUUGGAAAGUUUUUCGGUGGGGGAUGGGCUCGCGGCCUAUCAGCUUGUUGGUGGGGUAAUGGCCUACCAAGGCGUCGACGGGUAGCCGGCCUGAGAGGGCGACCGGCCACACUGGGACUGAGACACGGCCCAGACUCCUACGGGAGGCAGCAGUGGGGAAUAUUGCACAAUGGGCGAAAGCCUGAUGCAGCGACGCCACGUGAGGGAUGACGGCCUUCGGGUUGUAAACCUCUUUCAGCAGGGAAGAAGCGCAAGUGACGGUACCUGCAGAAGAAGCGCCGGCUAACUACGUGCCAGCAGCCGCGGUAAUACGUAGGGCGCAAGCGUUGUCCGGAAUUAUUGGGCGUAAAGAGCUCGUAGGCGGUCUGUCGCGUCUGGUGUGAAAUCUCAUGGCUCAACUGUGAGCUUGCAUCGGGUACGGGCAGACUGGAGUGCUGUAGGGGAGACUGGAAUUCCUGGUGUAGCGGUGGAAUGCGCAGAUAUCAGGAGGAACACCGAUGGCGAAGGCAGGUCUCUGGGCAGUUACUGACGCUGAGGAGCGAAAGCAUGGGGAGCGAACAGGAUUAGAUACCCUGGUAGUCCAUGCCGUAAACGUUGGGCACUAGGUGUGGGGCCAGUUCCACUGGUUCUGUGCCGUAGCUAACGCAUUAAGUGCCCCGCCUGGGGAGUACGGCCGCAAGGCUAAAACUCAAAGGAAUUGACGGGGGCCCGCACAAGCGGCGGAGCAUGCGGAUUAAUUCGAUGCAACGCGAAGAACCUUACCAAGGCUUGACAUGUACGAGAAAGCCCCAGAGAUGGGGUUCUCUUUGGACACUCGUACACAGGUGGUGCAUGGUUGUCGUCAGCUCGUGUCGUGAGAUGUUGGGUUAAGUCCCGCAACGAGCGCAACCCUUGUCUCAUGUUGCCAGCGGGUUAUGCCGGGGACUCAUGGGAGACUGCCGGGGUCAACUCGGAGGAAGGUGGGGAUGACGUCAAAUCAUCAUGCCCCUUAUGUCUUGGGCUUCACGCAUGCUACAAUGGCCGGUACAGAGGGCUGCGAUACCGUGAGGUGGAGCGAAUCCCAAAAAGCCGGUCUCAGUUCGGAUCGGGGUCUGCAACUCGACCCCGUGAAGUCGGAGUCGCUAGUAAUCGCAGAUCAGCAACGCUGCGGUGAAUACGUUCCCGGGCCUUGUACACACCGCCCGUCAAGUCACGAAAGUUGGUAACACCCGAAGCUCACGGCCCAACCCCUUGUGGGAGGGAGUGGUCGAAGGUGGGACUGGCGAUUGGGACUAAGUCGUAACAAGGUAGCC
rnacentral:rRNA from 1 species